rnacentral:rRNA from 1 species
CCUACGGGAGGCAGCAGUAGGGAAUCUUGCUCAAUGGGGGAAACCCUGAAGCAGCAACGCCGCGUGGAGGAAGAAGGUUUUAGGAUUGUAAACUCCUUUUGUUAGAGAAGAUUAUGACGGUAUCUAACGAAUAAGCACCAGCUAACUCCGUGCCAGCAGCCGCGGUAAUAGGGAGGGUGCAGGCGUUACUCGGAAUCACUGGGCGUAAAGAGUGCGUAGGCGGGGUAAUAAGUCAGAUGUGAAAGCCUGUGGCUUAACUCCAGAACGGCAUUUGAAACUGAUACUCUGGAGUGUGGGAGAGGGAGGUGGAAUUCUCGGUGUAGGAGUGAAAUGCGUAGAGAUCAAGAGGAAUACUCAUUGCGAAGGCGACCUCCUGGAACAUAACUGACGCUGAGGCACGAAGGCGUGGGGAGCGAACAGGAUUAGAUACCCUUGUAGUC